UGAAGACACUUAAUAUUUAUCAAACUAUUUUUAAUCAACUAAAUCAAAACAGACUUUUUAUGAUAUCGAUGAGAGUCUGCCACGUAAUAGUGCGCGAGUUUCAUUCUCAUUAACCCCUUAUCAAAGGCAGAUCCCAAGAUUUAUAUUUUGUGAUUUAAAUUUUAAUAUUUUUAAUAUUGAAUCUAUUAUAUAUUAAAAGUGGUACUUUUUUUUUUUUUACUGUUUCUGUGUUUUUGUUUCGUGUGGUGAAUUCAUACCUAUUAUAUAUAUUAUAAUUUUAAUUUUUUUUUACACAUAAAUAUGUUUUCGCCUCGAAAGUUAAGGCUUCAAUUGAACCUCACUUAUAAGGCUAGCUAGAUACGCCACUGCCCCUUACUCUUGCCCAAUGAAAAAAAAAAAAGUAAAGGAAGAUAAGAAAUAUUAAGAAAUUUUACGUCGUAUAGUCGCCCAUCAAAAUAAUAACCACUAAAUAUAUUCUUUUUAACAUAUAAUAUUAUUUUAUGCAUAAUAUUAUUUUAAUUAUUUUUUUAUGAGCGAUCAAAUCUAUAUCUAUAUAAUUAUUUAAAGCAAGGAAAUAGGAGUCUGACGUAGCACGUCUGAGAAUCCAGGGAUUUCAUUUAUCUCUUUUCGCAGAUUUUUGAAGCUUUUCUCUCAUUUUAAUACAAUAUAUAUAUUUAAAGGCUUAAACCUAAAAACUAAGAUUUUAAUUAUAGCUGUAUAAUAAAUGAGGAAAGAUAGAAAGGAACAGUUUCAAAACACAUAGACGUCCGUUCCAAGAAUGACUUUUCAGAUUGAACAAUCAAGAGAAACCAUGAAAAGAAACGUAGAGGGAAUCAGGGAAACCAUUCAAAUAAGCCUAAGACAUCCAUUUCAAGAUUUCUAUUAUUGCGGGAAGAACCCGAUGGAGAAGAAGGCAAAUGCUGUGAAGAAGCUUUCCGAAAAUGUUUGAAGAAAUCUCCUGACAGAGAGGAAGACGAAGGCUGUGAAGAAGCUUUCUGAAAAUGGUGGUUUUAGUUGCUGCUAUCCGUUUCUAUUUUUCCCUUCUUUUUUUUUUUCUUAUCUCUUUAUUAUUGUUACUAUUUUGUUUUUCAUGUUGUUCUUUUGUUUCAAAAUCUAAUUUCUCAGGUCGGAACGGAGAAAUCUUCCGACGAAGAAAACGGCGAAGGUUGUUUAGAAGCUUUCCGAAAAUGUGGGUGAAAAAAUUGUUUCUUUUGAGGAUCGAAUCUCAGUUCUUCUGUAUAAUCUUCAUGGAAUAUGCCCAGGUGGGUACAAAUAAUUAUGGAUGCCUAGACUAACAUUUGAUUAAUUUCCUGUUUGAUGUUUCAAGUUUAUUUUGAAUAGUGAAGAACUCUUCAAACUAAAGUGAGAAGAAAAUUGAAGCUGCGAUCUCUUACCUGCUGCCAAAGUACACUUCUACAGAUUUUUAUUUUAAAAUUGCUUGUGAUUUUGUACUUUUACUCACUGCUCAUAGCUGUAAGUUUUUUUUCCACCAAAAAUUUUCUUAUUGUUUGUGAUGUGUGUUUUCCUUUAUCUCUAUGUAAUAGCUUUCCUAUUAGCAAGUCUACAUAUUUUUGUUAUGCUGUCGUCUACUUUGUGAGAUUUAAUUACUCUCGACUAGAUUUACAUACUGAAUGCUCAUCUAACUUUUGCGGCAUAGAUAUAAUGGUACUAAAAUAAGGUGUUUGUUUGUCUUUUGUUGUAUUUGUUUGUUAAAACUUCUUGACUACUGUUGAGUUGCAGGUUGAACUUUCAGCAUCUGUAAGUACUCCACCUUUCCUAUGAAAUAAUUAUAUAUGCACUAAUGUGCUUGCCUGGAACCAUCUGCAUAUAUUUGAACUAAUCUGCUUGCUACUCUCAGGCGUACCAGUUUCAACUAAUAUGCUUAAUACUCUCAGGAUUAUUGUAACUCUAUGAUACUGGAAUCAUCACAUGACCAGAUUUAUGCCACUGAUGAUAUUGCAAAAUCUCAAGAGAAUGGAACCUUUCAGCAAAAUUAAGAAUUUACAGAGUGUGUAUCCCUUUAUCCUUAUUAAUAUUUCCCUGCACCAAUCUUGAUUAUAUUGUAUGGGUUGCUAUAAACAUGCAGGCAUGGUUGAAUGACAUUCGCCUGUUACUAUUCCGGAUAAAGCUUACAUUUUACAUUCUAUACAUAAAUGGUGGAAAAAAAUUUAUGCUAUCAAGUCAUUCGAAAUGCAAUUGUAGGUAACUCUAUACAUUUAUAGUUUAUCUGAAAUAAAUGUUCAGUAAUUUGAUACCAACAGAAUAGGUCAGGUUUAUUUUCUUUUAUAUAGCUUCAAUACUGCAGGAUGAAUCUCAUUUCUAUUGUUGGACUUUUUGUUCAUUCGGGUAUAAUAAGUUGACAUUUUGUAUGCUCA